rnacentral:rRNA from 1 species
GAUGGAUUGGUGCCUUCGGGAACUGUGAGACAGGUGCUGCAUGGCUGUCGUCAGCUCGUGUUGUGAAAUGUUGGGUUAAGUCCCGCAACGAGCGCAACCCUUAUCCUUUGUUGCCAGCGGUUCGGCCGGGAACUCAAAGGAGACUGCCAGUGAUAAACUGGAGGAAGGUGGGGAUGACGUCAAGUCAUCAUGGCCCUUACGACCAGGGCUACACACGUGCUACAAUGGCAUAUACAAAGAGAAGCGACCUCGCGAGAGCAAGCGGACCUCAUAAAGUAUGUCGUAGUCCGGAUUGGAGUCUGCAACUCGACUCC